rnacentral:rRNA from 1 species
CUCCGACUUCAUGCAGGCCGAGUUGCAGCCUGCAAUCCGAACUGGGAUCGGUUUUGGUGAUUUGCUCCGCCUCGCGACUUUGCGUCUCAUUGUACCGACCAUUGUAGCACGUGUGUAGCCCAGAACAUAAGGGGCAUGAUGAUUUGACGUCAUCCCCACCUUCCUCCGAGUUAACCUCGGCAGUCUCGCCAGAGUCCUCAACCAAAUGUUAGUAACUGACGACAAGGGUUGCGCUCGUUGCGGGACUUAACCCAACAUCUCACGACACGAGCUGACGACAACCAUGCACCACCUGUCACCUCUGCCCGAAGGGGGCUCUCGGUUAAGAGAGCUUUCAGAGGGAUGUCAAGCCCUGGUAAGGUUUUUCGCGUUGCUUCGAAUUAAACCACAUGCUCCGCUGCUUGUGCGGGUCCCCGUCAAUUCCUUUGAGUUUUAGUGUUGCCACCGUACUCCCCAGGGCGGAGCACUUAUUGCGUUAACUGCGUCACUGAAUCCAUUCGGACCCAACAACUAGUGCUCAUCGUUUACGGCGUGGACUACCAGGGUAUCUAAUCCUGUUUGCUCCCCACGCUUUC